AGAGUUUGAUCAUGGCUCAGAACUAACGCUGGCGGCGUGCCUAACACAUGCAAGUCGUACGAGAAAGUUGGCUUCGGCCGAUGAGUAAAGUGGCGCACGGGUGAGUAACGCGUGGAUAAUCUACCCCUCAGUUGGGAAUAACUCAUCGAAAGGUGGGCUAAUACCGAAUAAUACUGCAUGACUUCUGUUGUGUAGUCAAAGAUGGCCUCUGCUUGCAAGCUAUCGCUGAAGGAUGAGUCCGCGUACCAUUAGCUAGUUGGUAGGGUAAUGGCCUACCAAGGCAACGAUGGUUAGCUGGUCUGAGAGGAUGAUCAGCCACACUGGAACUGAGACACGGUCCAGACUCCUACGGGAGGCAGCAGUGAGGAAUAUUGCGCAAUGGGGGCAACCCUGACGCAGCAACGCCGCGUGAGUGAGGAAGGUUUUCGGACCGUAAAGCUCUGUCGAGCGGGAAGAAAUGCAUAGUGGCUAAUAUCCAUUAUGCUUGACGGUACCGCUAAAGGAAGCACCGGCUAACUCCGUGCCAGCAGCCGCGGUAAUACGGGGGGUGCUAGCGUUGUUCGGAAUCAUUGGGCGUAAAGAGCGUGUAGGCGGCUGGAUAAGUCAGAUGUGAAAGCCCUGGGCUUAACCCAGGAAGUGCAUUUGAAACUGUUCAGCUUGAGUAAGGGAGAGGAAAGUGGAAUUCCUGGUGUAGAGGUGAAAUUCGUAGAUAUCAGGAGGAACACCGGUGGCGAAGGCGACUUUCUGGCCCUAUACUGACGCUGAGACGCGAGAGCGUGGGUAGCAAACAGGAUUAGAUACCCUGGUAGUCCACGCUGUAAACGAUGUUCACUAGGUGUUGGGGGUAUUGACCCUCUCAGUGCCGCAGCUAACGCAUUAAGUGAACCGCCUGGAGAGUACGGUCGCAAGAUUAAAACUCAAAGGAAUUGACGG
rnacentral:rRNA from 1 species